UACGUAGGGUGCAAGCGUUAAUCGGAAUUACUGGGCGUAAAGCGUGCGCAGGCGGUUAUGUAAGACAGAUGGGAAAUCCCCGGGCUCAAACUGGGACCUGCAUUUGUGACUGCAUAGCUGGAGUACGGUAGAGGGGGAUGGAAUUCCGCGUGUAGCAGUGAAAUGCGUAGAUAUGCGGAGGAACACCGAUGGCGAAGGCAAUCCCCUGGACCUGUACUGACGCUCAUGCACGAAAGCGUGGGGAGCAAACAGG
rnacentral:rRNA from 1 species